CACGUAGGGCGCGAGCGUUGUCCGGAAUUAUUGGGCGUAAAGAGCUCGUAGGCGGCCUGUUGCGUCCGCUGUGAAAGUCCGGGGCUCAACCCCGGGAGGCGGGCGGAUACUGUCGGGCUAGAGUCCGGAAGAGGCGAGUGGAAUUCCUGGUGUAGCGGUGAAAUGCGCAGAUAUCAGGAGGAACACCAAUGGCGAAGGCAGCUCGCUGGGACGGUACUGACGCUGAGGCGCGAAAGCGUGGGGAGCAAACAGG
rnacentral:rRNA from 1 species